UACGUAGGGUGCAAGCGUUGUCCGGAAUUAUUGGGCGUAAAGAGCUCGUAGGCGGCUUGUCGCGUCGGCUGUGAAAACCUGGGGCUCAACCCCGGGCCUGCAGCCGAUACGGGCAAGCUAGAGUUCGGUAGGGGAGACUGGAGUUCCUGGUGUAGCGGUGAAAUGCGCAGAUAUCAGGAGGAACACCAAUUGCGAAGGCAGCUCGCUGGGACGUAACUGACGCUGAGACGCGAAAGCGUGGGGAGCAAACAGG
rnacentral:rRNA from 1 species